rnacentral:rRNA from 1 species
UGGGGGAUAUUGUACAAUGGGCGAAAGCCUGAUGCAGCGACGCCGCGUGGGGGAUGAAGGCUUUCGGGUUGUAAACCUCUUUCGCUAUCGAACAAGGCCCGCUUAGGGUGGGUUGAGGGUAGGUGGAGAAGAAGCGCCGGCUAACUACGUGCCAGCAGCCGCGGUAAUACGUAGGGCGCGAGCGUUGUCCGGAAUUAUUGGGCGUAAAGGGCUUGUAGGCGGCUUGUUGCGCCUGCUGUGAAAACGCGGGGCUUAACUUCGCGCGUGCAGUGGGUACGGGCAGGCUUGAGUGUGGUAGGGGUGACUGGAAUUCCAGGUGUAGCGGUGGAAUGCGCAGAUAUCUGGAGGAACACCGAUGGCGAAGGCAGGUCACUGGGCCAUUACUGACGCUGAGGAGCAAAAGCAUGGGUAGCGAACAGG